rfam:Pseudomonas sp. 1 R 17 genome assembly PSEFL294_LIB5394, contig: PSEFL294_LIB5394_000043
GUUCAUGGUGGCUGUGCGCAGGGCACCUUCGGGUGCGCCGGGUUCAACUGGCCGGUCGACUAACCUGCGUACAGCCGCCACCCGA